rnacentral:piRNA from 1 species
UUACUGGUUGAGAAUCAAAAA